GAUGAAGUUAAUAUAUCUGAAGUAAGUAUCCACACUCAAAAAUGUUUCAUUCGAGCAGUGACGGGAGGGCAGGGGAAAUCCGCCUGUCUGCGGGGCGCGCGGCCGCCUGUGCAGCCUUCCUGCGGGCCUCGGCCGGGGAGAACGGGGACGCCGAAGGAAAGCGAACUCAGCGCGUCUUCCCGCGCGGGUCGCCCCGCGCUGCACCCGACUCUGACCCCGCCGCUGCGUAGGCCUGGAAGCAACUCAUGCGCACGCGCAGGGAGCCGGGGUCCUGGGGCUGCGCGGGAGACACGCGGGGGAGCCCGGAACGUCUGGCUCCACCCACAGAUGACUGCGGACGCUAAGGACGUCUCCGGGAGCUCGGCACAGUGUGCGCGAGAAAAAUUAGCGUUCGUCUACAACACUGCCAGAUGACACAGCAGCAGUUUUCUUGGGUUUUCCAUACCGAUCGGAGUCGUAACAGCAAGGGUCCAGAAGAGGGGCUGUUUUAAAGCCCGAAAGUAACUAACUGCUCAUCAGUGGAGGGAGCGAGCAGACCGACCGCAGGAGCGCGGCCGAGGGCGCACCCGGGUUCUCGCUGCAGCUCGAGAGAGCAGAGCCUGCAGAGCACCGGGCAAGGCACCUGAGCGCCGGCCUCUGCCGCCCUCCCAGGGCGUCUUGAGUCGCCGGCCUCCCUGCCAGCUGGCUGGUGAUUUGUGAGCCCACGUGUUAGAAGUGCACUCGACCCACAGUUAGCAAAAUGCAGGAUUUUGAAAACUACAGAACAAACGACUCCAGUUCAACAAAUUGGAGACGAUAUAAAGGAAUGAGAGAGGAGCCUAUAGAGACCUAAAGAUUUAUCACCCAGUGGCAUCCUGUAGACUUUAUUUUGGUCCUGAUUAAAACACUAAUAAAUACGGUUUUGCACAAAAACUCUCCUGAGUGUUGAUAGGAGCAUUAUUCAUAAAGGCCUAAAGGUGGAUGUAUAUCCAUGGGAAGGAAUAUUACUCAGCCAUAAAGGAGUGAAGUACUGACAUGCUGCAGCAAGGGUCAGUCCCGAAAGCAGUCUGCUAAGGGAGGAAGCCAGACAAAACUGUCACUAACCGACUGAUUCCGCCUUUGGGAGGUGCCAGGACAGGCAGAUCCAUGGAAGUGGCUUACACAGGAGUGUUCCAGGCGCUGGAUGGAGGAUGGGGAGUGAGUCCUAAGGGGUAUGGGCUUUCUUUUUGGAGAGGUAGAAUUAGAUAGUAAUGAUGUCUAUACAGCUCUGGGAACGUAGCACAAACUACUGGAUUGUGUACCUUUUUAAAAGCCAGGCAUGGUGGUGCACGCCUGUAAUCCCAGCACUUAGGAAGCUGAGGCAGGAGGAUUGUAAAUUCAAGGGCAGUCUGGGCUACGUAGUGAGACCCUGUCUCAAAAAAAAAAAGAGAGAGAGAAGAUCUGGGUGAUGAUAUAUGCCCAUAAUGAUACAUGCCCAUAAUCUCAGAGCUCUGGGCGGCUCAGGCAAGAAGGUCACAAAUUGGACAAUUUGGCAAGAUCCUGUUUCCAAAUUGUUUUUUAAAAAAUUAUUUUAAAAAAAGGACUGGGCACAUAGUUCAGUGUGAAACCCUGAGUUCAAUCCUCAGAACUGAAACAACAAAAGCAAAGGAUGAAUUUUAUAGCGUGUAAAUUAUACCUCAAUAAAAAUAUGGUAUUAAUGAGAUAAGUGAUUUGUUAUGUGAUAAUAUUAAGAAAUUAUCAUUUUAGUGCUCACUUCGGCAGCACAUAUACUAAAAAAAAGAAAUUAUCAUUUUAAAUGUAAAACAUUUAAGAUAUCUUUAUCUUUUGGAGACUUGUCAACUUUUUUUUUUGGUACUGGGGAUCGAACUCAGGACCUUGCACUUGCAAGGCAGGUGCAGUGCCACUGAACUAAAUCCCUGGCCCUUGAGGAUUUUUUAAAAGAUGCAAUUAAAGGGCCGGGGAUUUAGCUCAGUGGUUCUGCCGGCUGCCUGGAAAGCACAAGGACCCGAGUUUGAUCCCUGGUACCAAAAAAAGCCAACAAAACAAACAAAAAAGAUGCAAUUAAAAACUUAACUCUAUCAUCUUGAAACCAUUGUAUUGACCUUGUAAUAAAAUCUGAUGGCUAAAACAACUGUUCAAUAACCUAGGGGAAUUUGUAUAUAACACAAUAGAGUGAAGCUGGGGAUUUAGCUCAGUGGUUCCUGUCUGCUUUGCAACCACAAGGUCUAGAGUUUGAUCCCCGGUACCAAAAAAAAAAAAAGAAAGAAUUUUAGCUGGGUGUGGUGGUGCACACCUGUGAUCCCAGCACUUGGGAGGCUGAGGCAGGAGGAUCUCUGUGAGUUUGAGCCCAGCCUGAACUGCAAAGGGAGACCCUGCCUAAAACACAAACAAGCAAAAAAUAGAGUGAAAAUAUGUGCUUAGUUUGAAAUGUUUUAGUGAUUCCGAGAAUUUCUUGUUAAUUUGAACCUCAAAAUUUUAGAUUUGAUUUCUUCAUUGCUUUUUUUUGGUACGGGGCAUUGAAUUCAGGACCUUGCACUUGCGAGGCAGGCAGGGAACCACUGAGCUAAAUCCCUGGCCCUUGUUGUUAACUUCUUACGAAUGAAACAGGACAUCGGGGUUCAUUUCAAACUCAGGCGCAUGGGAAGUCAUUAAUUCGAGGCUCUCAGGCCAGCUGGAACCGUGGGCUGGUGUUGGGAACUGGGCAGCCUCCUGCCCCUGCCUGGGGCUGGGCUUGUGGCCUUUCCCACACCUCCCCUGGGAUGUGACAGUGCUUCUAGACAGGUCUCGGGCUGGCUGCGGGUGAAGCUGCCUGGGCCGGAGGACAGUUCCGAGGGCCGGGGACUGAGGCCCUUGGAGCGACAGGCCUGACCUGCCGGGCACCAGAAAGUGGGGUGCCUUGCAAGGGGUCGGAGGACAGCUGCGUCCAGCUGGUGCCUCUUUCUUUCCUCCUGCGGGUCGGACUCGGGGUGGCCUGCCACCAAGCUGCACCCGGCCAGCCCUUUGUGUCUGUCUCGAGGUAGGGUCUUGCCAACUUGCCCAGGCUGGGUGAGAACUCGCAGCCCUCUUCUCUCAGCCCCCUGCACGGUCCGGCCAAGGCCUCAGCUGCCUGAGGCCCUGUGGCAGAGCCACGAGGCCCUGUUACUGCCAGACCCCUGAUGCGUUCCUGGUAAGUGUGUGUUAGGCUUUGAGCCACAGAGGUCUGGCAUGAUGCAGGUGCUGAAUCUAGGGGAGAUUUUGACAAGGAGGGUAUUUUAGGAUCUUAGAAUAUCUCCUCACAGAUUGUUAUCUUCUUUUCUUUCAGUACCAGGGAUCGAACUCAGGUUAUUAUUUUCAUUUGCACAAUUUAUAUGUGCUUGAGAUGAUUUCCAAAUACAAAGUUUAAAAGAUAAUAUGACAAAACUAUUCCAUGGGUUGGAGGAAAACAAGGAGGGUAGAAGAUGAAAUGUGGCAGCUGUAAGUUGAUCAUUAUUGAAGCUGACUUACCAUACAAGGCUGAUUGUCCUUGUGACUACUUUUGUACAUCUUUAUAAUUUCCCACAGUAAAAGAAGAGAACGAAUAGUGAAGGGGUUGAAUCUGGAGAUUUCCACAUGUCUUUCCAUGUAACUCUGACCUUCCGGAUGUGGUGGAUCAUGCACAAUCUAAAUUUGAGCUCAACCCUUGGUCCGGGUUUUUCCUCCAAACACUGGGGAAAAUGGGAUCUACUAAUAAGUACCCAUUACAAAUAUUAAAGUUGUUAGCAUGUAUCCUAGCACAUACCAAUAGUUCAAUAUACAUCAGUAGUAACUUACUGAAUGAGUAAAUGAACAAAAAUAUUGAUUUCCAUCUGGGAGUUAGUGCCUCACGCCUAGAAUCCCAGCACUCUGGCAGGCUGAGGCAGGAGGAUUCUAACUUUAAGCCUGGCCUGGGAACCUUGGAAACUCAGAGAAUGCUUGUCUCAAAAUUUUAAAGAUGAGGGCUGAGGAUUUACCUCAGUGAUUCCGCCGCCUGCCUUGCAAUCGAAAGGUCCCGAGCUCAAUCCCCGGUACCAAAAAAAAAAGUUCUGGGGAAUCAAGCUCGGAGUUUUGAAACAUUCAGUGAGAUGCACACAAUGUAAUAUUUGCCAUCUUCACCACUAGAAAGCGCGAAGUUGGGCGUCCACUCCGGAGCUUUCUCACCUCCCAGUCUGAAGCUCCGUGCCCCUUAAAGACUGACUCCCAUGCCCUUCCCCGAAGACCCCGGCAGCCACCAUUCCCUUCCUGUCUCUGAGUAUCCCAGCACGGUAAAAUUAUGGAACGCUUGUCUGAUUGUCACAGGCUUAUCUCACAUGUCUCAAAGCCUCAUUUUCUAGCACGGAUGAGUUUCCUUCCUUUUCAAGGUUGAAUAAUAUUCCCUUGGAUGCCUCAGCACAUUUUUUCUUAUCCAUUCAUCUGCUGACACAGGUGGGUUGCUCACCCCUCAGCCGCUGUGAAAAAUGCUACGAACACGGGUGCACACAUAUCCUGAGUUCCCUUUUUCAGUCGUAAGCCUGGAUUUCUGCAUUUGUUGCAGAAAUUAUUUUAAAUCUCUCUUACCAUGUGGUAUUUAACUUGUUUGCGAUUUCAACUUCCAAGCACUGGGGUUGCACCCUCGGCCGGACAGCUCGGGGCGGCGGGGCCUCUGGGCGGGAGUCUGCGCCCGGGCUGCUCUC
rnacentral:lncRNA from 1 species